rnacentral:rRNA from 1 species
CCUACGUGAGGCAGCAGUGAGGAAUAUUGGUCAAUGGGCGCGAGCCUGAACCAGCCAAGUAGCGUGAAGGAUGACUGCCCUACGGGUUGUAAACUUCUUUUAUAAAGGAAUAAAGUGAGGCACGUGUGCCUUUUUGUAUGUACUUUAUGAAUAAGGAUCGGCUAACUCCGUGCCAGCAGCCGCGGUAAUACGGAGGAUCCGAGCGUUAUCCGGAUUUAUUGGGUUUAAAGGGAGCGUAGAUGGGUUGUUAAGUCAGUUGUGAAAGUUUGCGGCUCAACCGUAAAAUCGCAAUUGAUACUGGCAGUCUUGAGUACAGUUGAGGUAGGCGGAAUUCGUGGUGUAGCGGUGAAAUGCUUAGAUAUCACGAAGAACUCCGAUUGCGAAGGCAGCUUACUAAACUGCCACUGACAUUGAUGCUCGAAAGUGUGGGUAUCAAACAGGAUUAGAUACCCCAGUAGUC